rnacentral:rRNA from 1 species
CUACCUGCAGUCGAGCGGUACAGAAAGAAAGCUUGCUUUCUUUGCUGACGAGCGGCGGACGGGUGAGUAAUGCCUGGGAAAUUGCCUUGAUGUGGGGGAUAACCAUUGGAAACGAUGGCUAAUACCGCAUAAUGCCUUCGGGCCAAAGAGGGGGACCUUCGGGCCUCUCGCGUCAAGAUAUGCCCAGGUGAGAUUAGCUUGUUGGUGAGGUAAGAGCUCACCAAGGCGACGAUCUCUAGCUGGUCUGAGAGGAUGAUCAGCCACAUUGGGACUGAGACACGGCCCAAACUCCUACGGGAGGCAGCAGUGGGGAAUAUUGCACAAUGGGCGCAAGCCUGAUGCAGCCAUGCCGCGUGUAUGAAGAAGGCCUUCGGGUUGUAAAGUACUUUCAGCAGUGAGGAAGGAGUAACGUUUAAUAGGCGUUAUUUUUGACGUUAGCUGCAGAAGAAGCACCGGCUAACUCCGUGCCAGCAGCCGCGGUAAUACGGAGGGUGCGAGCGUUAAUCGGAAUUACUGGGCGUAAAGCGCAUGCAGGUGGUCUGUUAAGUCAGAUGUGAAAGCCCGAGGCUUAACCUCGGAAUUGCAUUUGAAACUGGCAGGCUAGAGUACUGUAGAGGGGGGUAGAAUUUCAGGUGUAGCGGUGAAAUGCGUAGAGAUCUGAAGGAAUACCAGUGGCGAAGGCGGCCCCCUGGACAGAUACUGACACUCAGAUGCGAAAGCGUGGGGAGCAAACAGGAUUAGAUACCCUGGUAGUCCACGCCGUAAACGAUGUCUACUUGGAGGUUGUGGCCUUGAGCCGUGGCUUUCGGAGCUAACGCGUUAAGUAGACCGCCUGGGGAGUACGGUCGCAAGAUUAAAACUCAAAUGAAUUGACGGGGGCCCGCACAAGCGGUGGAGCAUGUGGUUUAAUUCGAUGCAACGCGAAGAACCUUACCUACUCUUUGACAUCCAGAGAACUUACCAGAGAUGCUUUGGGUGCCUUCGGGAACUCUGAAACAGGUGCUGCAUGGCUGUCGUCAGCUCGUGUUGUGAAAUGUUGGGUUAAGUCCCGCAACGAGCGCAACCCUUAUCCUUGAUUGCCAGCACUUCGGGUGNGGAACUUCAGGGAGACUGCCGGUGAUAAACCGGAGGAAGGUGGGGACGACGUCAAGUCAUCAUGGCCCUUACGAGUAGGGCUACACACGUGCUACAAUGGCGCAUACAGAGGGCAGCCAACUUGCGAGAGUGAGCGAAUCCCAAAAAGUGCGUCGUAGUCCGGAUUGGAGUCUGCAACUCGACUCCAUGAAGUCGGAAUCGCUGUAAUCUGAUCA